rnacentral:lncRNA from 1 species
AUACUACGUUUAGUCCUCCUAGCCAUCAGAAAAGGAGAGACAAUGAUCCUAGAGCAAGACUGGCAAACCUCGGGAGCUUGGCUGCACAUGACGGCAGGGUGGCAUGAGGAAGCUUACACUUCUGUUGUCCACACAUAACCUGUUUGGUGGGUAAUUAAAGGAUUUUAAUCUCCACCACAGUCAAUCUGGCACCUUUCAAAAACUCAAAUAGACAGGCGCUGAAGAAGAAAAAGAAAGAGAACUCCUAAUUCUCAUUAAAGGAGAAAAAGAUUAAUUAUGUGGAAAAGAUAAAUAAAUCUUAUGAACAGUGUAUCA